GUUCGAAGCUCAACAGUGAGUUAGCAAUAAGGCAGGCAGGCAGGCAAGAGUCCAAAAGGACUGCACAGUGUGUCAAAGGGCAGGCAGAAGCAGUGAGUUAGGAAUCAGGCAGACACAUGGAAGGCAGAGCCUCACAGCUCCCGGAGAUUCAGGCAAACACAGGGUCGGAAAUCAAGCAGGAAGGCCAAAGCCAAGAAGGCAUAACUAUCACAGAGCAAAGGAAAGCAGAUGGCCAAAGCCCUGGACAAGCAGCACAGGAUGGGGAGUUUCACAGAGAGUGAAAGGAAAGGGCAAAAUAGUUGAUAGGAAGCUACUGAAACUCUCAUGCUUCUCACAGCCCUGACUGCCCUGCCUUCCCCCAGCAUGCCCAGACCUCUCCAUGGUACAGACACAAAGGGCCUAAUUCUGGUCCCAGCAGAGGCAUCCAGGACAUUGCUGCAGGACUAUGGCUAAUGUCCUUCUGAAGGGUCAGCACAUGCCCUAAUCUCUUCCUUUUGAGUAGCCAUUGACUUUGAGGACAUUCAGAAGUCUCAUAAGUAGUCACAUCUCCACCAUAUUUGUCACCAGCUACCUCACUUUGGUGUUGGCAAAUCUAAGUAUCUGCAGCCAUGACCAUUCUCACAUCUCCCAACUCCCACUGCUCUGUUGUGCCCCUUCACACUUGCCAUCCUAUAGCUACAUGUGCAAGAUAAAGAUCGCUGAUUCCCCCA
rnacentral:lncRNA from 10 species